rnacentral:sRNA from 1 species
CACGAUGUUUUUAGGUCGGGGUCGACCUAAAAACAUGAAUGUGAUCGAU